GCCCCCGCCGUCGCCGCGGUUCGACGCCGCGGCUCAAUGAGAACGACGCCAUCACGCCGCUCCGCUCAGGCGUCACUGCGCACCACUGUGGCGUCCCCGACGUGCCUCCUCGCCGAGUAGAUUUCGUUGUGGGAUCAUACUGAAAAAAAAUUAUUUCAUGGCAAUCUCCGUACAAGCGUCGCCAAAGAAGAUCAAGAUCCGACGACGAGGAAGCUGAUACAUUACUAUAGUUGAUGCUUAAUAAUUUGUAAUAUCUCAAGUAUUUUUGAACUCCGAAGUGUUCCAUACAUUACGAAUAUAUAUAUAUAAUAUUAGUGUGA